GGACUACGAGCUCACUCCAACCCAUGUGAACGUUACCAAACUGUUGCCUCGGCGGGAUCUCUGCCCCGGGUGCGUCGCAGCCCCGGACCAAGGCGCCCGCCGGAGGACCAACCAAAACUCUUUUUGUAUACCCCCUCGCGGGUUUUUUAUAAUCUGAGCCUUCUCGGCGCCUCUCGUAGGCGUUUCGAAAAUGAAUCAAAACUUUCAACAACGGAUCUCUUGGUUCUGGCAUCGAUGAAGAACGCAGCGAAAUGCGAUAAGUAAUGUGAAUUGCAGAAUUCAGUGAAUCAUCGAAUCUUUGAACGCACAUUGCGCCCGCCAGUAUUCUGGCGGGCAUGCCUGUCCGAGCGUCAUUUCAACCCUCGAACCCCUCCGGGGGGUCGGCGUUGGGGAUCGGCCCUGCCUCUUGGCGGUGGCCGUCUCCGAAAUACAGUGGCGGUCUCGCCGCAGCCUCUCCUGCGCAGUAGUUUGCACACUCGCAUCGGGAGCGCGGCGCGUCCACAGCCGUUAAACACCCAACUUCUGAAAUGUUGACCUCGGAUCAGGUAGGAAUACCCGCUGAACUUAAGCAUAUCAAUAAGCGGAGGAAC
rnacentral:rRNA from 1 species